GAGGGUGUAGCUCAGUGGUAGAGCGCUUGAUUAGCAUGUGUAAGACCCUGGGUUCAAUUCUUGGUACCAUUA
rnacentral:tRNA from 1 species